GAUCUACUCUACUUGUUUACUUGUUAUUCGUGUCAGAUAUUUCCGUUUUUGGAUAGUUGUUCACUGAAUUGCUAGCACUUCAUUUCAUAAUGCUUUUGUUGAAAAAGAUGAUCGAAAACGAUUCAAUGAUGUUUUAAUCAUCGAACCGAUACCGAACCGACCUCAAAAAGCACUUAUCGCUCAGCACUAUCCAACACAGAAACACUGCUUGGACUAAUACAGUAGGCCUAGGCUAGUACUCAGAUGUAUCCUACAUCGACCUAAUGGUUCAGUUGGUUGGCCUACUGUAAAAAAUGCAUAUAUUUUUAUUUAACAUUUAUUUGCACAAGGAGUCCCGUUGAGACCAAGACCUCUUUCGCAAGGGAGCCCUGCAUACACAAUUUAUAGGCAACAAGUUAUACGAUUUACCACAAAUUAUUAUCCUAUAUUUCUUAUUUGGCAAUUGUGGAAAGGUUGUCACUUGUGAUUUAAGAGUUAACGUUAUUUGACAUUGGUUUAGCAAAAAUAGUUUCAAAUCAAAUGUAUUUAUAUUUAUAUAAAUCAGACAUUGUAUUGAUUUAUACCUAGGUUGCUAACUGUCAAAAUAUAUAUACGGUUAGUGUUACAUUGACCAUUGUUACAACUUGUGUCGCCAGUUGAAUGGCCGCUGCGCAAUAAUUAAGUUGCUUAGCAACCUGGAAAUAAAGAAUUCGCUGCCAAAGUCCACACGACAAUUUAUUUUACACACAUUUCACUUUAUCAUGAGUAAAAUGUAUCAGCGUGCUGAAAUCUGCUUGCCAAGAAAGAAGAAAGUCCGCGAGUCUUUCCACUCAAACACAUACAGGAUAUUUGAUGAGAAGAUACCUGACAGAUUGGACCCUGAUAAAGUCUAUAAAGUCCAUUCAUAUGCUCAGAGAGAUCCAAAGGAAUAUGAUCAGCUUAAAAUACACAAUACCCCACAAAUGUACAAUGCCAAGUUCAUAAGAACCAAUGUCAGGUUCAUGAAUGCACCCAUUUCUCACAUGGAGACAGAGAGUACAAUGGCUGAGCAGACUUAUAACAGUGUCACUGGUGGCCCAAUACAUCGUAUCACGAUGCGAGCACCCAGGCACCUUACAGAAAGGACAGCACUCAGAGACACGACUACCAGGCCAUUCAACAAACGCACGCCCUGGUCAGACAUGGGAGGAACAACAACAGAGUGCCUGCUUCAGGAAUCGUUCCCAUGCUGAGCUCUAUUGGUAGCCCAAAAGUGUUGCUGGAGCACAUGUCUUUCAUUCACCAAUAUGACUCAAGGAAAUUACAGGACCAACCAUACCAAGGGAUGCGACACGGAGCUUUAGUGUGGAGCGAGGCUGGGCCAUGGUCUCCUGACAGGGAGAGCACAUACCUCAACGCCGAGGGGUCAUGUUCACCAGCGGUGCGGGGAGGAAGAGGGCGGGAAGAGGUAACCUCUCCCCAGCAGCAAGUUUUCAAUGAUGGCAGGAUCCACACCGGGAAGGUGGGCCCCAGAGCUAAAGGCACCAAGGCCAUCGCCCGCCACUCACCGACCCAUCCCUCCAGCCAACUGUUUCACAGCUUCUACACUCCCAUGACACGUAGGGGAAGGGUUGAGGGAGGGUUUGAGGGGAUCUCCUCAGUCUCUGACAGGGCUGCGGAGGGUCGGAGACCUAUGCUUGCAGACGGUGAGGGGACUGUCUUGCAAAGGCAGGGAUCCAACAGUCAACAGGUGGCGGUUCAAGCCCCAGCCCAAAUUGCAGGCUCAGAGCCUAACAACUGAUGGCAGAUCUGAGUAGAAAUCGAUUGCAAUUGUGUUACAUUUUUGGUCAGAAGUCAUCUAAAGAUAAAGAUUAAAAUAAUAAAAUGUUCAACCUGCAAAAGUAACUGCUGUUAAAUGGCAUUUUCAAUUAAAGAAAAAUACAGUAUACGUUAUGUACAACUGUCAUACCCAGUUCUAACCCCAAAUCAGGGCCGGCGCUAACCUUUUGUGGGCCCUAAGCAAGAUUUGUUUGCCCCCCCCCCCCAGCUUGCAGCAAAACAUUUUAGUUGCUUCCCUCUUGAUGGCGGAGAGAGAACUUUUUUUAAAGCAAAUUUCCUGCAAUUCUAUACAUUUUGCCAUAGGGCGUAGAUGAAAUGUUGCAGUUUUAAAGCAAGUUUUCUUCAAUUUUACACAUUUUACCAUGGGGUGGAGAGACCCUUCUUGCCAUUUUACAGCUAAUUUCUUGCAAUUCUACACAUUUUGCCAUGACUUAUGCCAUGGUAAUAUGAUAUUUGAGUGAGAAUGACUAACAAAAUCAAUGGGGCCCCACUGGAGAUCAGGGCCCUGGGCACGUGCCCUGCGUGCCCGGUCAGUAUUCAGCUAUGAUUACUACAAGUUUAGACAGCUGGCUAGACUAACUACCAAUCUCAAAAUUGUUUGCUGACAUAGCAAAUUGAGUGAUAAUCAGUGACUGAUAAGAAGAGAAAAGCUUCCAAAAGAUGCACAACCAAAUUUCAAAAUGGCACCUAGUGUAUUCUACUAUUCUUACGCUCAAUAGUAAAUUAAGACCCCGAAAUUGGAACUCAAAAAUAUUGGGUUGAGGGCCCCCUAGUGGCUGGUGGCCCUAAGCAACCGCUGAUGUCGCUUAUGCCUGGAGCCGGCACUAUCCAAAAUAUAAGCUUGUUUUACUGAAGAAUGUUUGCCUGAAAAACUAAUUAAAAUUGUGACUACUGUGGCUAUUGUGGCUAUAGAUUGUGACUGAUGUACUGGAGUGUUAACAUGAACAGACUAUAUUUAUAACGUUUAGCAAAUUGAAUAUACUUUGCCAGCACACAAUUUCUGAAAAAAAAGAGCAUGUGAAACCAUAGAAUAAAGCUUUUGUGAGCUAUCUAAUCACUUGUCAUAGUCCUCAUGAUGAAGCCCACACCAGUUUUCUGCAUUUAGAUAGAAUGAUGGAUCUGCGUCAGGUGAUGGAUCUAUAUCAGGUUUCAGUACAACUGUGUAGAAGAAUAGAAUAGAGGAAUAAGUAUUUUAUUGUAUAUUUGGUUAGAUGGGUAAUAUAUACCUUUUUCCCAUUACCCCCAGACACACACAUGUUGAGAGGCCCAGGGUCAGCUGCAUUGCAGCGCCCCUGGAUGGAUAACAAAUUUGGGGUGAAGUGCCUUGCUCAAGGGCACAACGUUAGUGGUUUGUACCUGGGAUUAGAGAUCAGCAGCCCCCCAGCUGCCAGUUCCCAUUUUCUAUUGAUGCUCAUCUUUACCCUAAAGUGCAGUGCCUUCAGAAAGUAUUCACACCCCUUUACCUUUUCCUCAUGUUGUUGUGUUA